rnacentral:rRNA from 1 species
CAGCCGUAAACUAUGCGCGUUAGGUGUAUCGGUGACCACGAGUUACCGAGGUGCCGAAGGGAAACCGUGAAACGUGCCGCCUGGGAAGUACGGUCGCAAGGCUGAAACUUAAAGGAAUUGGCGGGGGAGGCACCACAACGGGUGGAGCCUGCGGUUUAAUUGGACUCAACGCCGGACAACUCACCGGGACGACAGCAAUAUGUAGGCCAGGCUGAAGACCUUGCCUGAAUCGCUGAGAGGAGGUGCAUGGCGUAGACGUCU